rnacentral:lncRNA from 10 species
AGCUGUUCCUAUUCGGCCAUCUUGGCUCCUCCGAAAGCAUAACUUUUAUAUGCACUGAGAAACCAAAAAAUUGUGUGACUUGCUUUAUUGUGAUAUUCCCUUUAUUUCAGUGGUCUGGAAUGGAACCCCUCACAAUAUCUCUGAGAUAUGCCUGUAUUUCUGAGUGUGUCUAUGUGGGUAUUUCCAGAAGAGAUUAGCAUUUGAAUCACUAGACUGAGUAAAAAGGAUCACUGCUGAUGUAAGCAGGCAUCCUCCAAUUUGUUGAGAACCUGAACAGAGCAAAAAGUCCGAGUAAGGACAAAUUCUCUCUUUCUUCUUGAGUGAGGACAUUUAUCUUUUCCUGGGAAAUCAAAGCUCUUGGUUCUCAGGCCUUUGGACUUGAACCGAAUUAUGCCACUGGUUUUCCUGGUUCUUCAGCUUGCAGAUGGCAUAUUGUGGGAUUUCACCUCCAUAAUCAGAUGGGAUUCCUUAUCUACUUGUCAAGUUCCAAGGGAAAAAUAUUGAGGGGUUAAUUUGAAUUGCUUUGAAUUUAUUAACUUAUUUGAUGAGAAUUGAUGUCGUUACAUGCAAGAUCCUGGUAUGUCAGGUUUUCUCUUACCUGAAAAUCACUU